rnacentral:rRNA from 1 species
AAUAGAUACCCGGGUAGUCCAUGCCGUAAACGUUGGGCGCUAGGUGUGGGGACCUUCCACGGUCUCCGUGCCGCAGCUAACGCAUUAAGCGCCCCGCCUGGGGAGUACGGCCGCAAGGCUAAAACUCAAAGGAAUUGACGGGGGCCCGCACAAGCGGCGGAGCAUGCUGAUUAAUUCGAUGCAACGCGAAGAACCUUACCUGGGUUUGACAUAUACCGGAAGGCUGCAGAGAUGCAGCCCCCCUUGUGGUCGGUAUACAGGUGGUGCAUGGCUGUCAUCAGCUCGUGUCGUGAGAUGUUGGGUUAAGUCCCGCAACGAGCGCAACCCUCGUCCUAUGUUGCCAGCACGUAAUGGUGGGGACUCAUAGGAGACUGCCGGGGUCAACUCGGAGGAAGGUGGGGAGUGACGUCAAGUCUUCAUGCCCCUUAUGUCCAGGGCUUCAAGCAUGCUACAAUGGCCGGUACAAAGGGCUGCGAAACCGCAAGGUGGAGCGAAUCCCAAAAAGCCGGUCUCAGUUCGGAUUGGGGUCUGCAACUCCG